rnacentral:rRNA from 1 species
AACGAACGCUGGCGGCAUGCCUAACACAUGCAAGUCGAACGAGACCUUCGGGUCUAGUGGCGCACGUGUGCGUAAAGCGUGGGACCCUGCCCUUAGGUUCGGAAUACCUCCCCGAAAGGGGUGCUAAUACCGGAUAAUGUCCUCGGACCAAAGAUUUAUCGCCAUUGGCUGGGCCCGCGUUCGAUUAGCUAGUUGGUAGGGUAAAAGCCUAUCACGGAGACGAUCCAUAGCUGGUCGGAGAGGAAGAUCAGCCACACUGGGACUGAGACACGGCCCAGACUCGUACGGAACGCUGCAGUGGGGAAUAUUGCACAACGGGCGAAAGCCUGAUCCAGCAAUGCCGCGUGAGUGAUGAAGGCCUUAGGGUUGUAAAGCGCUUUUAUCCGGGACGAUAAUGACAGUACCGGGAGAAUAAGCCCCGGCUAACUCCGUG